UGUGUGUGUGUGUGUGUGUGUGUGUGUGUGUUCACCUGGUAUUCCUUACGUUACGGGGACCAAAUGUCCCACCAAGUAUAAUAAUAAUACCAGUACAUUUUGACCUUGUGGGGACAUUUUUUGGU